rnacentral:rRNA from 1 species
ACGGGUGAGUAAUACGUGAGUAACCUGCCCUUGACUCUGGGAUAAGCCUGGGAAACUGGGUCUAAUACUGGAUACUACCUCCUGCCGCAUGGUGGGUGGUGGAAAGGGUUUUACUGGUUUUGGAUGGGCUCACGGCCUAUCAGCUUGUUGGUGGGGUAAUGGCUCACCAAGGCGACGACGGGUAGCCGGCCUGAGAGGGUGACCGGCCACACUGGGACUGAGACACGGCCCAGACUCCUACGGGAGGCAGCAGUGGGGAAUAUUGCACAAUGGGCGGAAGCCUGAUGCAGCGACGCCGCGUGAGGGAUGACGGCCUUCGGGUUGUAAACCUCUUUCAGUAGGGAAGAAGCGAGAGUGACGGUACCUGCAGAAGAAGCGCCGGCUAACUACGUGCCAGCAGCCGCGGUAAUACGUAGGGCGCAAGCGUUGUCCGGAAUUAUUGGGCGUAAAGAGCUCGUAGGCGGUUUGUCGCGUCUGCUGUGAAAGCCCGGGGCUCAACCCCGGGUCUGCAGUGGGUACGGGCAGACUAGAGUGCAGUAGGGGAGACUGGAAUUCCUGGUGUAGCGGUGAAAUGCGCAGAUAUCAGGAGGAACACCGAUGGCGAAGGCAGGUCUCUGGGCUGUUACUGACGCUGAGGAGCGAAAGCAUGGGGAGCGAACAGGAUUAGAUACCCUGGUAGUCCAUGCCGUAAA